UCUAAUGUGGCAGAAAAGUGCAAUGAAUUUAAGCUUCAUAUAUAAAAUUAUUAAUUUUCUUUAGAA
rnacentral:tRNA from 1 species